AUGUGCUACAAAGUGAGUAUCAGAAAACACCUCCAGACACCUGGACUGUCAAAGAGCACACGGCAAGAACAUUCUCCUGGAGACGCUGAGAAAGCACGGAAGGAAUGUCUGUGGAGGAUGUACUCAAACACACCCAUACUUAAGAACACCUGCUGGAGGGACCCUGCUACACCCUUUCCUACCAUACAGCUGAUGGAUACUGACUGGAAAAUGGCAAUCAUAGGAGGAGGGCUCAGUGUGGUGACAGAAGAUGGAAUAGACGUCUGUCAGUGCACCAGCCUUGAUGAAGCCUUCAUAACAGCCUUCUGUGUGUAUUCUGCUUUCAACAUUGCAUAUCCACCACACUUGAGAAAGACACUGACUUUCCUUCAGAGGCACAUUUUCAACACUAGAAGAUGGACACAAGCACUGCCAGUAACUUUACUCUGAAUGAUCAGCCUUUUGUAUUAGAUCCUCAUGCCUCAACUGUACCAUUACACAAAGAGCACUCGAAGGACAUUCACUCUUUUGAAGUUAAUCCAACAUGUUGAACCAAAAAUUAGUAUAACCUGUGAUAUAGAUGAGUGCCAGUCACCUUUUUUGUGAUUCCAUUCUUUAUAAAACAUGCACAUGAAUCAUAUGUACUUUUGUGUUGUAUUAUAAUAUAAUGGAGAAGGGUCUGGCUGCAGACUUGCACUCUCAGACACUUGCGCUUCUGCUAGUGACAACACUUGCAGUCUUUUUUAUUUUAUAUUUAGUUCUACUUAUUGGUUACUUUUUGUUUGAAUCUCUCAACAUUUGUGUUUUCUCUUGUGUAGGUAUGAUUGACUGGAAGUCUGUCAGUCCAGAUGUGAGGAAGACCUACAGAGUGAGUGUGAGCUCAGCAGGUGUGAUGGCUGUGGAUGCAUCUACAGAAACACCACUGGAUACUGUAGCCAUGGAAGGAAGGGGGUCUUCACAGCUUUCUAUUCAGACAAAGAGUUUGCUGAUUCUGGAUUCUGUUCUAUGGACUGCUACUACAGAAUGAAUGAAUGAAUGAAUGAAUGAGUGGUUUGUCUAUCUAUCUAUCUAUCUAUCUAUCUAUCUAUCUAUCUAUCCAUCUAUUUUUUUUUAACUUGAAUUGGCGACUGAAACUGAAAGCUAAAUAAAUGUUUCAGUGGAUAAAGCUGUGUCUGUUUG
ensembl:lncRNA